rnacentral:misc_RNA from 1 species
AACGAGGCCGACCUGCGGCUGAGUUACCUGCGGAGGGAUCAUUACCGAGUUUACAACUCCCAAACCCCUGUGAACAUACCACUUGUUGCCUCGGCGGAUCAGCCCGCUCCCGGUAAAACGGGACGGCCCGCCAGAGGACCCCUAAACUCUGUUUCUAUAUGUAACUUCUGAGUAAAACCAUAAAUAAAUCAAAACUUUCAACAAUGGAUCU